ensembl:snoRNA SNORD29 Small nucleolar RNA SNORD29
UUUCUGUGAUGAAUCAUACUAGCUCACUACGACUGGCAAUGAAAAUACAUGAACACCUGAGAAAG